CACCAGCCCCUCGAGUUGUGGGGACGUUUAUUUGGCCUAAAGCGUCCGUAGCCGGCUUGGUAAGUCUCUCGUUAAAUCCAGCGUCUCAAGCGCUGGGCCGCGAGGGAGACUGCCGAGCUAGAGGGUGGAAGAAGUCAGCGGUAUUCCUGGGGUAGGGGCGAAAUCCAUUGAUCCCAGGAGGACCACCAGUGGCGAAGGCUGCUGACUAGUACACGCCUGACGGUCAGGGACGAAAGCUGGGGGAGCGAAUCGGAUUAGAUACCCGAGUAGUCCCAGCCGUAAACGAUGCAGGCUAGGUGUUGGGGCGGCCACGCGCCGCCUCAGUGCCACAGGGAAGCCAUUAAGCCUGCCGCCUGGGGAGUACGGCCGCAAGGCUGAAACUUAA
rnacentral:rRNA from 1 species